rnacentral:rRNA from 1 species
AGUGAACGCUGGCGGUAGGCCUAACACAUGCAAGUCGAACGGCAGCACAGUAAGAGCUUGCUCUUACGGGUGGCGAGUGGCGGACGGGUGAGGAAUACAUCGGAAUCUACUUUUUCGUGGGGGAUAACGUAGGGAAACUUACGCUAAUACCGCAUACGACCUACGGGUGAAAGCAGGGGAUCUUCGGACCUUGCGCGAUUGAAUGAGCCGAUGUCGGAUUAGCUAGUUGGCGGGGUAAAGGCCCACCAAGGCGACGAUCCGUAGCUGGUCUGAGAGGAUGAUCAGCCACACUGGAACUGGACCACGGUCCAGACUCCUACGGGAGGCAGCAGUGGGGAAUAUUGGACAAUGGGCGCAAGCCUGAUCCAGCCAUACCGCGUGGGUGAAGAAGGCCUUCGGGUUGUAAAGCCCUUUUGUUGGGAAAGAAAAGCAGCAGGUUAAUACCCCGCUGUUCUGACGGUACCCAAAGAAUAAGCACCGGCUAACUUCGUG